rnacentral:rRNA from 1 species
AGUGAACGCUGGCGGUAGGCCUAACACAUGCAAGUCGAACGGCAGCACAGUAAGAGCUUGCUCUUACGGGUGGCGAGUGGCGGACGGGUGAGGCAUACAUCGGAAUCUACUUUUUCGUGGGGGAUAACGUAGGGAAACUUACGCUAAUACCGCAUACGACCUACGGGUGAAAGCAGUGGAUCUUCGGACCUUGCGCGAUUGUAUGAGCCGAUGUCGGAUUAACUAGUUGGCGGGGUAAGGGCCCACCAAGGCGACGAUCCGUAGCUGGUCUGAGAGGAUGAUCAGCCACAAUGGAACUGAGACACGGUCCAGACUCCUACGGGAGGCAGCAGUGGGGAAUAUUGGACAAUGGGCGCAAGCCUGAUCCAGCCAUACCGCGUGGGUGAAGAAGGCCUUCGGGUUGGAAAGCCCUUUUGUUGGGAAAGAAAAGCAGGAGGUUAAUACCCCGCUGUUCUGACGGUACCCAAAGAAUAAGCACCGGCUAACUUCGUG